rnacentral:rRNA from 2 species
CCUGGCGGCGAUAGCGCGGUGGUCCCACCUGACCCCAUGCCGAACUCAGAAGUGAAACGCCGUAGCGCCGAUGGUAGU